rnacentral:rRNA from 1 species
GAUGAACGCUGGCGGCGUGCCUAAUACAUGCAAGUCGAGCGAACAGACGAGGAGCUUGCUCCUCUGACGUUAGCGGCGGACGGGUGAGUAACACGUAGAUAACCUACCUAUAAGACUGGGAUAACUUCGGGAAACCGGAGCUAAUACCGGAUAAUAUAUUGAACCGCAUGGUUCAAUAGUGAAAGACGGUUUUGCUAUCACUUAUAGAUGGAUCCGCGCCGCAUUAGCUAGUUGGUAAGGUAACGGCUUACCAAGGCAACGAUGCGUAGCCGACCUGAGAGGGUGAUCGGCCACACUGGAACUGAGACACGGUCCAGACUCCUACGGGAGGCAGCAGUAGGGAAUCUUCCGCAAUGGGCGAAAGCCUGACGGAGCAACGCCGCGUGAGUGAUGAAGGUCUUCGGAUCGUAAAACUCUGUUAUUAGGGAAGAACAAAUGUGUAAGUAACUAUGCACGUCUUGACGGUACCUAAUCAGAAAGCCACGGCUAACUACGUG